GUGGGUGCUCAAGUAUAAGAACCAAAGAGGCCAUAAGAAGACAGAGACCCGGACUGUACCUAUUUUCGCAGCCUCUGCCUUCAGGUUGAAAUCCCAGUUCCUGGGCAGCUUUAGAGACAUUUUGCUUCUGACUUGGAUGUAAGAAGAAGAGAUUAGUACUUUGCAACCACAUCUCAUUUCAAAGCACAGGGGAAAGCAACCUAAUGUCAAGCAUGCUGGGAUGAAGCACAGUUGUUUAUGGAUGUGAGCCUGCUGUGGCACUGGCCUAUAUUUCCCACCUGACUCUGAUGGGUAUUCGAACGUGGUUCCACAUUACAGGGACACUCAGCCAGCAGCCCCACCUGGCAUCUGGCAUUUGGAUGCACCGUGGUAUCUGAGUGAGAAACCAAAGAAACUGAAAAUGAGCCAGGCAGACCUGUAGAAGAAUUUUCCAGCAGAGGGAAGAGCAAGUGCAAGAGUCCUAAACGCCACCACAGUGGGAUGAUUAAGGAGCAUGUUCAAGCAACAUCCAGAAAGCUGUGUGUCUGAGCAGAACUGAGAACAGGAGGAUUUUUUGGAGACAUACUCAUGAAGCCCCCCAAGCCUAGAGUUCCAGUGCCCCAAAGCAGAGAGUGCAGUUUCAGGCACUAAGAGCAGAUUUGUCGGAAUAAGUUUCAAGAUGACCUCAAGCAAGGCACAUGAGCAAGGAAGAAGAGGAAUAGUUUCUCCCAUUCCUGUGCCUCCAUCCUCAAGGGUGCAUGACUCUCCUGCAGGAGAGGGGUCCUUCAGGAGCCCCUCCUUGUCAGCAUUUCCCAAGCACUCAGCUCCCACGAUCCUCCAAAGGUACACGUAAGUGACCAGAUGCCAAGAUUGAGUGACCUUUUCAUUCCCUUCCAAGUCCUCUGAACCCAGUCACAAGUCCCUAAGGGAAACCCUAUGGCAAGGAGUCCUUUUUGUCAUUCCCUCUCCUAGAUCAUGCUCUGGGUGGCCACUGUCCUUCAGAUACCUGCUCUAGAUGUUUAUGUGACUCUUCAUACACUGGCUCAACUAUUACAAAAACCAGCAAGGAGGCUCUCAACAAAUGUAGCCCACUCCUGUCAUUUUCAAAGGUCCCUCCAAGCUUCAGGUAGCCCACUGGCCUUCUGUUUUGCACUGUGUCCCCGACUAGGGUUAAUAUUAACCAGCAGCUGCAGUGUGCACAGUGGGCUGUUGUCCUAGACCAUAACCCGGCUGCCCUGCGCAGGUCAGCUAAGCCAAGUGCCAGGAUGGGCAGCACUUGUAUCCGUGCUCUCUGCUUCUCCCAGGAAUUCACUAAGCCUGGUUUCCCUUGUCAGACUGGGUAGACUCCCCAUAGUUUAAGGAUUAGGAACUCCUUUAUUUCUCUUACAAAACCCUCUCAGUUGUCUUACUUUAAUCAACGGGCCCUCACAAUAGAUUUGUCCACCCACUUUUCAGUUCCUGGGUUUCCACUGUUCCUCCUCUAAUUUCUCCAGGGUGAGGACCAGGAACUGUGCCCACUCUGUUUACAAUAUUUCAGUUCAUGCUGACAGAGAAGGCUGUGUCCUUAUGCCUGUGGUCUUGGAAAAAGAUGUUCAACUUUGCAUAUAAAGUCGCUAGGAAGUGAUAUAUAUCCCAUUCAGGGAUUUCAACUUGUUCACUGUGAGUCCAGUUCAAGACUGAGACAAAUAUGGCUUCUCCCUCCUGAUCACCUCAUUCUGUGAAAGGAGCCCUGUAUUAACCUCUACUGCCUGUCAUGUGGCCUUACUUCAGCACAAAGAGACUCCACCUAGCGAUUGUUAUGGCAUGGGCCUUAGGGAGGGUAUUAGUCACUUUUCUGACACUGGGGCAAAAUACUUGACAUAUGCAAUUUAGAGGAAGAGAGGUUUACAUUGGCUUGUGAUGGCAGAGAUUUCAGUCCCUGAUUGGAUGACUCUAAGGCAGAAGCAUCAUUUGGGAAGCGUAAGGCAGAAAAAAGCUGCCUACUUUAGGGCAGUAGGAGGCAGAUCAGGGAAAGAGCCAGAAAGACAGGAAGAGACUGGGAACAUGACGCUCCUUUCAAAGGCGAGACUUCCACAGCAUACUUCCUCUAACUGGGGCCCAUUUUCUAAUAGUCAAUUCAGCUAUGAACUCACCAAUGGAUUAAUCCAUUGAUAAGGUCAGUGACUUCACGAUCCAGCCAACUCUCUAAGUCCUACCUCUGAACAUUAUAUCACCAGGCAUCAAACCUUCAACAAACCAGUCUUUGAGGGACAUUUCGUAUCAAACCAUAUCAGUGAGCCCAGUUCCUUUUUCCACAGGGCCCCAUGGUGUAUCGACAUAGUAACAGCUCCAUACAGGGGUCUCACAUUUGGUAUCAAUUUUCCUUUAGUCUUUUAUGCUACAGAGAGGAGCCAAAUGAUUGACCAUUACAUCCCCAUAAUUCUGGUCUUCCCUUUAUCCCUUUAUGGGUAACACACCAUGCCAAGGCUUUUGAGAGGCCUAUUUUUUCAGGGUUUUCUUGCCUUACAGAUGAUAAUAUGGCCCUGAGACUACUAACUUCCCUAGGUAUAAUAAUUCUCUCAUUCACAGAUUUUUGUCUGUUUUUAUUUUUUGUUUUAUUCCAUAGACAUUGUAGUCCCCCCAGUUACUCAUAACCUGGUGUCACCCUUGGGACCAGGGUAAAUAUUUUCCAUGCUGGAGGACCCCAUAAUCUCCUUAGGUGUGUCUAACUGGGCAUUCAUCCCACAUUGGUACACUUUGCCAUAGAAACAUCAAUGCCAUCAUCCAUAUAGGCUGGGACCACAGGUAGAGUGGUCAGUGGAUAUCCAUUGUCCCCACCCUCUGAGCUGUGAGUGUGGGACUAUGCUUUACAGUGGAGAUCACUUUGAGAAAAGCAUUCAGAGAAAAAAUGCCCAAGGAGCCCUGGGUACAACAGCCACUGUAUCAUUCCCACACAGAUCACAGAGACCUGCAGAAUCCCGGCUAAGAUCCAACAAAGUAACCAAGCAGAUACAAAGGACUGUGGAAUCCAGAAAGGAAUCUGAACCAGGAAUAUAUUGCUUGCUAGCACGUGGUCAGUGCUUAGCCCAACCCAUAAUGAGCAGAAUAACUUCAUAGGCCUGAAUAAGGGCUUCACCUUUUUGAGGACGUUCCCAGGACAUGAGGUUCUCUGCCUCUCUGCACAGAUGACCAGAGACUGUCAACUUUACAGGUACCCUCUUUUGUCAUGAGCUGGAUUCUCAGACAAUUUGACAACAGGAGCUCCUCUCUGAACCGCUAUUUCCCACUGGGCCCAGCAUCAUGGAAUUUUCUGGCUCUUCCUCUUGCUCAUUUCCAAGAAGAAAAGGAAGAAGAACAGCAAGAAGAAGAAGAAGAAGAAGAAGAAGAAGAAGAAGAAGAAGAAGAAGAAGAAGAAGAAGAAAAAGGAGAAAGGAGAGGAGAGGAAAGAGAAGGAUGAGGAGGAGAACAGAGGCGCUGAGGUAUCCCUCAGCUAAAGCACAGGCCCAUGUGUCUGCAGCUAAAUGCAGACAAAGCAAGCAUCUCCCCAGGUUUCAAUACAGGGGACCAGCAUGCCAGGUGACUGACUUGCGGCCAAGUUGCACUUAACCAUUUUUCACAGUGCUUUUCAAAGCUGUCCUCAAGUGCUCACGUGGUCUUAGGUGAUAUAAAAAGGCCAGAGAUUUCAUGAGCCUGAAUCAGGAUGACAAUGUGUUGUAGGAACCAGCAGCCUCAAGCCAGACUUUCUGAGUUCAGGUCCCACUUGCUCAGCUUCCUACCUGUGUGACAACUAUGGGCAUGUGUUCACUUUUUCUAAGCUUUACUUUUCCCAUAUGCAAAAGGAAGAUAAUUGUCCAUUUCCUAGAAAGUAAGCUGGAAUCAGUUGGUGGUGUGUGCUUGCAAUCUCAGCCCUUGCCAGGCUGAGACAUGAGGAUUGCUGCUAGUUUGAGGUCAGCCGGAACCACAGGUUAAGAAGCUGCCUCAAAUAUUAAAGAAAAAAUUAACUAACAAGUUAAAAUGUUCUAUCUGUUCUGAUUUAAAGAAAAUGAGAAAGCUCUUCUUUCCCUGUCCUCCUUUGUUUAAAAGGCCCUCAGGCUGCACCAGGACCACCUGGACCAGACACAGAAGGUCAUGCAAAGGAGAAAGACAAAGCACUGUCUGUGCACAAAGCUCAAAGCAGUGACUAAUUCUGGACCAUACAUUAUGGAGAGGUUUAAGGUUGAUUUCCUUGCCUGCUCAAAGGCCGAGCACUGGGCAAACAACAACACGCCCAGCUCGAUCAGCUUGGCUGUAUUGGGUGAGAGGAAGUGGUGUGUCAGGGUGGGGCAGAUAGGAUGUGGGAGAAUUGUAACCCUGACACCCAGGAAAGGGAGAGAGAUCCCCAUUGCAGAAAGGAAAGCAUAUAAUUGAUUCUGUCUCCCUGGGGUUUCAAAGAAAGGAAAUCCAAUACCAUACUUGGAAAACUGUAUUUUGCAGACAGACCGAACUGCUUGGCACCAGCUACAUUUACUGUCCUGAGAUCACAAGGUACUCAGUAGGGCGUUGCCAGAACAGGAAGUGUCAGAGGCAGCUGAUUCCAUAGCUGAUAUGAAAUUCACAUUCACAUCGAGUAACUACAUGUAAAAAAACCCAGGCUUGCUGCGGGGAGGGAAACGCUAGCAGGCACACACAAGUUCACUUUAAACCACUGGCAAAGAACACAUAGAUUUUCACAGCCAUUUCAAAUCUGUUUCCUUCUCAUAAUUCUGAUCUUGUUUAUGAAUAGAAUAUGCAUUAGUCAUUCAACUUUACAGAAAGCAAUGGAACGUACAUAUAACUUGCCAACAGAUCAGGUAAAAAAUCUAUAUAUUGUCCAAGAGUUGUUGCAAACCCUAAAAAAGUGAGAAUCCUUAAAAUAUAAAAUGUACAGUGUUUUUCUUAAAAGAAAGUACAAAAUUCAAAGUAAAACAAACAAUUAAAGUCUGACUGUCCUGAUGGUAAAGCAGGAAAUGAGUUUUGGGUUACACAGUCACCACACUUUAGCAAAAGUUAGCAAAAAGCAUUUAUGAAAUCUGAAGUAACCAAUGCAAUUAAGACUUUUGUACUUUCUAUUUAAAAUGUAACCCUUUUAAAUGUUAUUCUAGAAUUUAUAUUAAUUGAAGUUGCUUCCACGGAGUUUCCUGAAUAGAUCUGGAUGCAUGCACACCAGGCAAGAAAAAAUCCAGGAGAAGGUUAAUUCACAAAAAAAAGGCUUUAAAUUCUUAGAAGUCACCAUAUGUAUGAAGCACGCAGUCAUCUCUGUGAGUAUUGCCGUUUCGACAAUUUUGAAAGAUAAAUUGGUCUGACAGUGGCAUCUAUCGGGGUCACCUUCAAAUAUCUCAGAACAUCUGGGGUGUGUAAGUGUAACAGAAAAUAACCAACAACAUUUAAAGUAACAAUAGGUUUUGCUUACCUUGCUACAGAAAUUUUGAGUCUGGGACACCAAAGAAAGCACUUUUUGAUAUUUAUGGGCCAAGAAUUUUGCCUUUAUGAAUGAUACUAAUAACAAGUGAUUAAAGUCACAUGAUUGAGAGGAAUUUGAUCAUUUCACAGAGUGAGUACAGGAGCUUUUAUUUAUUGCAAUGUCCCCACAUAUGCAGUGUCUGUUCUGCCCCAACUGUAUUGUUCUGCUCCCCAAACCUUUGAGCCAAAGGUUUUGCAUGGAAGUUAGACAUCUCUAGAACCUGAAAAUGUGCUCCUUUUUUUGUAUAGAAAAAGAAAGUUUUUUUCCUGUAUCUUCUCAACACUUCACUUCUGAUCAAUGUGUAGAGUUUUAUUUGUACACCAACCAAAUCUCUAACACCAGCUGGGUGUUCUACAGUUCAGUCAAAUUCUGUCACUUACUGGCAUCAGCAACAAGUAUCACAGGUUAGGAACCCAGUCCUACAAGACUGCCUCUACCUCAGACAUCAAUCACAAAUUCAGGAUUAAUGCCUAUACUUCUGAUUAACCAGCUAUGAUUAGGGUUCACACGAGCCCUCCAUAGGCUCCAUAGUUUGUAAGAGGGAACACUUGGACUCACUACUCUUUGUAUAAUAAUGGAUACAGACGGGGCAGCCAAAUGAACACGUAUGAAGCUGCAAAAGUUGUCUCUUUGAAACAAAAUACAGUUAUCACUUAGAAAAUUCCAAGAAAUCUAGGCAUUCUGCAUCAGAAAUGAGGAUCAAAUAUAAAAUAAUGGAACAAAAGUUGCUCCUGACCUCCUGUCAUUUUAAGAAAUAACAAGGGUAUUAAGAGCUCUACUCCAAGAACUAACUCCAGACCAAAUUUAGUGAGAUGAGUUGUUCUAAUAUUACAACAAGGAAGGCACUAGCACUGAUACCACUUAAGAAAUUUCAAGACUUUCGGAGUUCUGUGCCAGGAACUAGAAACAGAAACCAGUGUAUAUAUGUCUUAUUAUUUCACAACAUGGGAAGAGGAAUUUGCAGAUGUAAUUAAGUCAAGGAUCUUGAGAUGAGGGCAUUAUCCUGAAUUAUCCAGAUGGGCUCUAACCACAGUCAAAAUGUCCUCAUAAGAAGAAAGCAGGAGGAAAUUUGACUGCAGAAGUAGCAUAUGUGCAUACAGAAUCAGGGAUGAGAGGGGUGUAAGGAAGGCCACAAGAAAUGCAGGAAAAAGCUAAAAGAGAAAAGAAAAGAGAUUAUUUUUUUCAGAUUCUCUAGCAGGAACUACCUCUGCUAAUACCUUUAUUUUAGCCCAGUGAAGUCAAUUUUGGACAUGAUAAUCAGAGCAUAAAUCUAUAUUCUAAGUCACUGAGUUUCUAAUUUGUUAGAACAGCAAAGAAAAACGCAAACAAAGAUUACAAAACCUUGAAUGGUUGGGUGGCUGCUAAGCUGGCUACAGAGGCUUUCUCAGAAAUACUGCCUUCUCCAUUUUCUCAGAACAAGAUUAUCAUAUAUUUAUGACCUGCUUGUUUUGUACCAAGUUCAGAAGUAGGUGAGUUAAGGAACAUGAAUGAGAAGUGGGGCCCUAAAGCAAAUCCUAGAGUGGUGAUUUUCAGAUUUCCUUGUGCAUGUGAACCAUCCAGCUUCUUGUUAAAAUGAAGACUCUGACUCUGGAAGCCUGAGAGAUGGCCAAAGAUUCAGCAUCUCCAGCACAGUUCCAAGGGGUGUAACAUUGCCAGUCCACAGACCACACACACUUUCAGUGGUCAGCCUGUAGAGGAUCGCUCUGAGAAACACGGUGCACUGGCACGGAGAGACUCCUUUUUAAAUGAUGCUCUUAACUGAGCUCCAAUUCUCUCCUUGUAAACUCCCUGAUGGUAUGCAGCAGCACUCACCGCGGGUAGGAUGGCAUGUGUUUCUAGUCCCAUCAGGAGAAUUUGGGGGCUGGGAAUUUAGCUCAGUGGCCUAAGUGCCUGCCUGGCAAGCCUGGGGUCAUGAGUUCAAUCUCCAGUACCACUGAGAGAGAGAGAGAGAGAGAGAGAGAGAGAGAGAGAGAGAGAGAAUUUUAUAGAUUGUGUAUAUUAACUUGAUUAUUUCAGUUCUUCAACAAAGGCACCCCAAGCUGAAAUUCGUACUUAUUAUUCUGAUUAUAUGAUGACAUAGAUGACUUAAACCAAUGAAAUACAUAAAUGCAAAGAAGAAAACUGAGUUCUUUGCAUGAAAACUAAUCUAGGGGCUUAGGAAAGACAGAAUGAGUGUAUAUGUCAUUAUAAAAUCUAUGAAUUUGUAUGUGGGUAAGUGGAAAGAGGAAUCAUAAAAACCUCUAUGUCUAGAAUGCCUUAAAAGUACAUCUUAGUUUCAUUCCCAUUUUAAGGAAACCAAAACUUUCCCACCCGUCCCUAAUGGGUAAAAAUUUUACAAGGAAAUUCAUAGGAAUGUGUAUCUUUUUUUAAAGUUAAUGUACAAAGUCAUGGGUUGUUGUUAGUCUCAGUGAUGGAAAUGGAGUGCUUGUUCACAUUUCAGAACUCUGGCUUUAUGCAUUCAACACUUCCAUUUGUAUCUAACACCCUCAUCAAGACUUAUUACCUAAAUCUGUCUGCCAGUGAUUAAUCUCCAGUCUUUUGGAGAGGAAGGAUCCGAGGUUCAAAGCUAAAGAAGUAAACUGACUUGGUUCUGGCCAGUAAAUGUCUCAGUAUUCUGGCUUUCAACAGAGCAUGAUUUUUCUUCCUUUCAAAAAGUGCCCCUCCUUAUACAGGACCUGUGGUUUAACGUAUAUUAACUAUAUCAGCAGCAUUAAGGAAUAGACAUAAAGUAAAUAGUACUAAACGUCACAUCUCAUGUUUAAAAAGAGAGACAAGAGAAAAUCUAUGCAUAUUAAAUAGGGACCAAAGAGUAAAGGAAAGAUUGACUGUUUAUAGCAAAAUUAUAUCUGCCUGAAAGGAAUUGGGUCAGAAAGUGAUAGCCAAAUCAGAAUGCCAUUGGGUGACCUUAGAGAUCCCAUAGUGGUUUCACACUAGUGUAGGUGCUAUCUAUCUAAAGAUAACACAUACGGUUGACGAUUUGAAUAAAAAUACACAUUUUAAAAUCUGUGUUGGGCAACUGAAACUUCAGUGCCACAGAAUUAUGAAAGCAAAAGGGUCCAAAUUUUUUAUCUUCUGAGUCAUCUUCUGAGAGAGAAGGAUAUUCACCCAUACUCCAAGGGAAGAUGCAGGUCAAACAGACAAGACUUGAGAGCCUGAAAUUUAUCCCUUUCCAAGCUGACACACUACAGUAUUCCUGUUUAUCUUGAAGGAUCUUGCAUAGCAUGGAGGAAUCAUUCCCACAGUCUCAGAGUAUGUCCCUUGAGGGUUACACUGAUCUUCUUCUUUUCAAAUGAGUUACAAGGGGCAGUGAAUAUCAAUUUCUCAAUAAAAGCAAAUGUCUCAGUAUUUUGUUUCAAAACAGCAAGCCAAACAUACUCCUUUUUCUCUGAGCUAUCCCUAAAUCCCACCCAAAUGACAAUAAACAAUAAGGAAAAGUAGAGGUCCCAAGGAAGAAACAGCAUGUGAACGAGUUUCAGGAACUUUUAGGAGCCAAGCAGUGGGUAGAAUUACACUAAUGGACAAAUGUUAGCAAAAGGGACAAAAAAGAGAAAGCUACAGUCCAGCAGAGCUAGAAAGGGGCUUGGAUUCAGAAAUAGCAGGUUUGAAAUGAUUUGACAAGUAUCUAAAGAGUAAAUUGGCUGACCCUCCCACCCACUUCACCUUAUCCAUUUAUGUAAUAGUGACUUUUCUGCCGCAAUCUAGAGUCACAGAGCUGGCCUUUGCAGCCACUUAUCCACAUGCCUGAGCAGGGAUAAGGCUCCAAAGUAGUCCUCUAUCAGUGUACUUUGCUACUAAAUUGAGCUCAACUGGUUUUUAGCUUCAAAGUAGGAUGCCUCUGGCAUGGUCAGUGGGGGCCCUGGGUUUCACUGCCCGUACCAGAUGUUUGCUACCCUCAUCUCUCCCUGGCUCAGUAUGUCAGCUCACCCCAUGGCCACAACAGGAUGGCAGUAAGUUCCACACCUCUCUAAGUGGAACUGUCACAGAGGAAGGACUGAUCAGAGUUCCUGUUCUUCCCACCAUCUGUUUCAAGAGCAAGAACUCUUUCCCCAGAAACCCCUAAAACAAGCCUCAUUUGCCAAAGCAGGGCCACACAUCCACCCUUAACCAAUCCCUGGUGAAAGAUACGGGAUUGGGGAGGAGGCUGUUUUAAAGCAGCGCUUCUCAACAUCGAGCACACAACAAGAUUUACAGAGGACUUGUUCAAACAUCUCAUGGAUUUCUCGACUCCCCCUGUAGAGGUUCUGAUCUUGUAAAUUUGGGGUAGGACCGGUGUAUUCAUGAUUCUACUGAUUUUCAAGUAGUUGAGAAUUGGGCCGGAGGAGGCAGCCUACAGCAGAAGCACCAUCCUCUGCGGGCAGGUCCAGAGUACUGACUUCCUGCCAGGUCUCAGGUUAAGCCUCCUCGGGCACGUGUCUGCUCUCGUGUUCAGAGCUUACUCAUCUCUCUCAGUCAGGGAAGUUAUGAUUGUGGUCAUCAGAAGAGCUGCAAGCAGAAAUGUUUAGAAGUGGACACCUUUGGGGAAUGGAGGGGCAUGGAGGAAAACAGUGAGACAUUUUAUUAUUGUUUAUAUGCUAAUCUGAAAGGACGGAAUUUUUCUUGCCAUCAAUACUAAUGCUUUAGUAAAAAUAUUGUUUGUGCUGCUUGUUUUCCUACUAGACAUUUUUCUCUGCUUUAUUUCUGUCUUAAAACGGGCAUUUUUACAUGUCAAGAUCCAGGUUGUGAAUGAAGCUUGAUGCUGGUGGAAUUAGCUAUUCUUUCAAGAUACGAAUAAUUGAGUUAAAAUCAUCAUAAUAUGGUUGACGAAAUAGUAACCUACUGCUGAGGGUCUCAAAGGCUUGAAUCUGUGUCCCAGCAACAGAACAAAACCCAGAAGAUACACACAUGUAGAUGUAAAUAGGCUUGAGUCCAGAGGAGCUCAGGAAAUGUUGGAUUCUCUUUGGUGGCAAGACUGUGAAUGGUGGUUUUUGCUCUCAGCAUAAGAAAGAUGGAGAAGCAGCUUAUCAGAAAAAAAAAAAAAAAAAAAAAAAGGACAGAAAGAAAGUAAAAGAAAAAAUAAAUCCCGAAUUUUAAACAUUCAUUUUAACCUCUCAGUUAAAACCUGUGACUUUUACAAAAUUUAUUUUAGAAGACACUCUUCUUCACUGGAAAAGUAUUUUGCAAAGGAGCUGAGAAAGUUCACCUCCAUUACUCUCCAACCCAUCACCCUUAGCACCAACACCCAAAAGAAACAAGUUUAAUUUUUAGCAAAUGAGGGGAGAAGCCAGUGGACCUCCUAGAAAAAUCCUGCAGAGAGCAGAAAUGGGAAGGAGACAGAAAUGGGUGCCUUUGUAGUGGGGAGGAGCUGCAUUUCUGUGUGAAUAACUUUGUUGCAAAAGAAGCUGAACAGCACAGUUUCAAGUGUGACAUGAGAUAACCUGGACAAUGCAGGAAGAAUCAGGCAGCCGUGAUGGCCGAGAAACUCGGAGAACUACCUAAGGCUGGAGAGCUCUAGGGAGAUGCAGUGGAGAUCUUCAUAUUAACUUUGCAAGUCCCAGUUUUUAGACAGUCGAAGGUAUUUUCACUUACAUCCCAGGGGGGCAAGUCAGCCCUAAGGUGCCUCCCGGUUAUAUGACCAAGAGAUAGAAGGAAA